rnacentral:rRNA from 1 species
ACUCCUACGGGAGGCAGCAGUGAGGAAUAUUGGACAAUGGAGGCAACUCUGAUCCAGCCAUGCCGCGUGUAGGAAGACUGCCCUAUGGGUUGUAAACUACUUUUAUAGAGGAAGAAAUCGCAAUACGUGUAUUGCUCUGACGGUACUCUACGAAUAAGGAUCGGCUAACUCCGUGCCAGCAGCCGCGGUAAUACGGAGGAUCCAAGCGUUAUCCGGAAUCAUUGGGUUUAAAGGGUCCGUAGGCGGGCGUAUAAGUCAGUGGUGAAAGUUGCGGCUCAACCGUAAAAUUGCCAUUGAUACUGUAUGUCUUGAAUAAUUGUGAAGUGGUUAGAAUAUGUAGUGUAGCGGUGAAAUGCAUAGAUAUUACAUAGAAUACCGAUUGCGAAGGCAGAUCACUAACAAUUUAUUGACGCUAAGGGACGAAAGCGUGGGUAGCGAACAGGAUUAGAUACCCCUGGUAGCGACUGA